GAUGAACGCUGACAGAAUGCUUAACACAUGCGAGUCUACUUGAAUUUGGGUUUUUUAACUUAGAUUUGGGUGGCGGACGGGUGAGUAACGCGUAAAGAACUUGCCUCACAGCUAGGGACAACAUUUGGAAACGAAUGCUAAUACCUGAUAUUAUGAUUAUAAGGCAUCUUAGAAUUAUGAAAGCUAUAUGCGCUGUGAGAGAGCUUUGCGUCCCAUUAGCUAGUUGGAGAGGUAACGGCUCACCAAGGCGAUGAUGGGUAGCCGGCCUGAGAGGGUGAACGGCCACAAGAGGACUGAGACACGGCCCUUACUCCUACGGGAGGCAGCAGUGGGGAAUAUUGGACAAUGGACCAAGAGUCUGAUCCAGCAAUUCUGUGUGCACGAUGACGUUUUUCGGAAUGUAAAGUGCUUUCAGUUGGGAAGAAAAAAAUGACGGUACCAACAGAAGAAGUGACGGCUAAAUACGUG
rnacentral:rRNA from 1 species